GUGCUUCCUGGCACUGGGCUACAAUUCCUGAUGGCUGAUUCUGGGUGAAGAUGCUGUCUCUGGAAGGCCCCUGAUCAAGCUCUCCCGAGUCUCCCUCCUGAUAAACAUACAUCAAAAGGUGCAGCCCAGCAUUGGCUUUCUCUACAUGGCCCCCAGGUCCACCCUGCCCCGCCCAGCUGUUCCCCACCACCUGUGGCUUUCAGGAUGCUUCAGGAAAUGGAAGACACAGCAUGUGUGUGGGAGGAGUGGUUGAAGCCUCGCUGUGAUUCACCCGGACCUCCAAGGAAGUCACAGCUGCCCUCUGGGAUGGCCACAUUCCAUGGGGAGGGGCUUCAGGACACGCUACCUCAAAUACGGCACCUUGGUAUAUUGAAUACUUUAUACCUGGAAGUCAGAUUCCAGGCUCCUCUGUGGACGGCUUUGUCUUCGUUCCCUGGCACUUCCAACCCACCCUCUCUACCCAGGAACUAAGGCUGAGUGGUCUCCAGUGCCCUGAGAAAGCCCUGUGGAAGCACCAAGGAUGCUGGCACUGCCAGGAAGAGCGAGGGGACACUGACAAGAUGCAGGCAGGAAGCCCAGAAGAAGGACAGCCCCCAUCCUGAGAAUAAGAAUGCGGAAGUGGGAGAAGGCAGGGAGGUGGCGAUGAAGCCAGCGCUGGAAGCCCAAGGCUGCCGGGCUGUCCCGCUGUUCAUGGCUGAUGGAAAGCGAACCCAAGCGUCCGUGCCCUCAGCUGCCGCCCGCCUGCUUCCCCACAUCUGCGCUGCCUCCAGCUAAUGAAAGUGUUACUCCACGAAGCAGCAAGGUGGUGUUGCUACUGGUUUAGGAGAGACUCCGUGCAUCUGGCCAGCACUGGUUGAGCAACCAGCUGUGUGCAGACACAGGCUACGUCUGUGCCAGUCACUUUCCAUAGCCUGCAAGCUUUGUAAAGAGUAAAGAAACUGAGGCUUGGAGAGGCAAAAUGAUUCGGCUGAGGCCCCACACUAGGUUCCUGACAAGCGUCUGGCUUCUGGACCAGAGUUCACAUCCCAUCCCAUCAGGCUGGAAGAGACUGCGGGUGAACUGAAUGCCUCUCAACGUCCCUUUCCACCCCUGGUGGCCAGGCUCAUUAGGAGAAAGGAUGUCAGAAUCUCAGUGGAGGUGUGAGGAUUUUUCUCCCAAAGUCAUAAAGCGGAAGGCAUCCUGCCUGUUUAACUGGCAGCCCGUCUUCUGGCCUCACCUCCCUUCAGGUACUGCUUUUUUAUCUCCUCCUAAAAUGCGGCAGCCCUUAUCGUCCCAAUCUCAAAUUUCACUCCAUUUUUUUUAUUACACAAAAGAGAAAAAAAUCUGUCAGUAAAACUGUCUCCUCAAAUUUAUUCGCCG
rnacentral:lncRNA from 1 species